rnacentral:snoRNA from 1 species
GGCGUGUGUUUGUUGACUUGGUUGAUGCAGAAGAUAGAAGAGAACAGGUGCAGAAGUAAAUCCUCGUUUGCAACCCAGGACUCACUGUUCAGCGAGUUUUGAUACGUGUGAGAAGGGAGAUG